AACGAACGCUGGCGGCAUGCCUAACACAUGCAAGUCGAACGAGACCUUCGGGCCUAGGGGCGCACGGCUGCUUACCACGUGGGAACUUGCCCUUGGGUUAGCUAUCCCUCACCGAAGGGUAUCCUCAUACAGCUUAGUGUAUUCCGACCAAGGAUUUAUCGCCUUGGGAUGGGGGCUCGUUGGUUUCGGGGGUUGGUAGGGUAAUAGCCUACCAAUGCGACGAUGCAUAGCUGGUCGGAGAGCAUGACCAGCCACACUGGGACUGAGACACGGCCCAGACUCGUACGCGAGGGAGCAGUGGAGAAUAUUAGAGAAUGGGGGAAGACCUGAUCCAGCAAUGCCGGGGGAGAGAGGAAGGCCGUAGUGUUGUAAAGCUCUUUUUCCCGGGACGAGAAUGACAGUACCGGGUGAAGAAGCUCCGGCUAACUCCGUG
rnacentral:rRNA from 1 species